GAUUAACGCUGGCGGCGUGCCUAACACAUGCAAGUCGAACGAUGAAGAUUAUUAGACUUCUUCGGAAUGAAAAUAAUUGGAUUAGUGGCGGACGGGUGAGUAACGCGUGAGUAACCUGCCUUACACAAGGGGAUAGCCGUUGGAAACGACGAAUAAUACCCUAUGAAACUAUCACUUCGCAUGAAGCGAUAGUCAAAGUGUUAGCGGUGUAAGAUGGACUUGCGUCUGAUUAGCUAGUUGGUGAGAAAAAAGCCCACCAAGGCAACGAUCAGUAGCCGGCUUGAGAGAGUGUACGGCCACAUUGGGACUGAGACACGGCCCAGACCCCUACGGGAGGCAGCAGUGGGGAAUUUUGCACAAUGGGGGAAACCCUGAUGCAGCGACGCCGCGUGAUUUAGAAGGCCUUCGGGUUGUAAAAAUCUUUUGUAUAGGAAGAAAAUGACAGUACUAUACGAAUAAGGUCCGGCUAAUUACGUG
rnacentral:rRNA from 1 species